rnacentral:lncRNA from 1 species
UACGGCCGGAACAAGCGGCUGCAGGAGUUGGUUAACCUUGUGGUUGUCUGCGGUGACCACGGCAACCCUUCCAAGGACAAGGAGGAGCAGGCUGAGUUCAAGAAGAUGUUUGACCUUAUCGAGCAGUACAACCUGAACGGGCACAUCCGCUGGAUCUCUGCCCAGAUGAACCGUGUCCGCAACGGUGAGCUCUACCGCUACAUUUGCGACACCCAGGGUGCUUUCGUGCAGGUAACUAUCACGCUCCUGCGGGCUUUUCAUGGUGCUGAAAGAUUCAUGCUUGAGUGCAAAUUUAGUCGGUACUGACCAUGCCUGUUUUCUGCAGCCUGCUUUCUAUGAGGCUUUCGGUCUGACUGUGGUUGAGGCCAUGACCUGCGGUCUGCCCACAUUCGCUACCGCCUACGGUGGUCCAGCUGAGAUCAUCGUGCACGGCGUGUCCGGCUACCACAUUGACCCGUACCAGGGCGACAAGGCCUCGGCGCUGCUUGUGGACUUCUUUGAGAAGUGCAAGGAGGACUCCAGCCACUGGAGCAAGAUCUCGCAGGGUGGGCUCCAGCGUAUCGAGGAGAAGUAUGCAUCUUAUUUGUAGCACACUGAUCUCUGUAUUUCCAUGGCAAUGUUUCUCACUUGCUAAUGUUGUCAUUCCACCAAUUCUGUUGAUCCAGAUACACCUGGAAGCUCUACUCGGAGAGGCUGAUGACCCUGACCGGCGUGUACGGGUUCUGGAAGUACGUGUCUAACCUGGAGAGGCGCGAGACCCGGCGGUACCUGGAGAUGCUGUACGCGCUCAAGUACCGCACCAUGGC